rnacentral:rRNA from 1 species
UACAGAGGGUGCGAGCGUUAAUCGGAAUUACUGGGCGUAAAGCGUGCGUAGACGGUUAUUUAAGUCGGGUGUGAAAGCCCCGGGCUCAACCUGGGAAUUGCAUUCGAGACUGAAUAGCUAGGGUACGGUAGAGGGAAGUGGAAUUUCCGGUGUAGCGGUGAAAUGCGUAGAUAUCGGAAGGAACAUCAGUGGCGAAAGCGACUUCCUGGACCAGUACCGACGUUCAGGCACGAAAGUGUGGGGAGCAAACAGG